rnacentral:rRNA from 1 species
GCAAGGGGGUCAUCCCGACUUACCAACCCGAUGCAAACUGCGAAUACCGGAGAAUGUUAUCACGGGAGACACACGGCGGGUGCUAACGUCCGUCGUGAAGAGGGAAACAACCCAGACCGCCAGCUAAGGUCCCAAAGUCAUGGUUAAGUGGGAAACGAUGUGGGAAGGCCCAGACAGCCAGGAUGUUGGCUUAGAAGCAGCCAUCAUUUAAAGAAAGCGUAAUAGCUCACUGGUCGAGUCGGCCUGCGCGGAAGAUGUAACGGGGCUAAACCAUGCACCGAAGCUGCGGCAGCGACACUAUGUGUUGUUGGGUAGGGGAGCGUUCUGUAAGCCUGUGAAGGUGUGCUGUGAGGCAUGCUGGAGGUAUCAGAAGUGCGAAUGCUGACAUAAGUAACGAUAAAGCGGGUGAAAAGCCCGCUCGCCGGAAGACCAAGGGUUCCUGUCCAACGUUAAUCGGGGCAGGGUGAGUCGACCCCUAAGGCGAGGCCGAAAGGCGUAGUCGAUGGGAAACAGGUUAAUAUUCCUGUACUUGGUGUUACUGCGAAGGGGGGACGGAGAAGGCUAUGUUGGCCGGGCGACGGUUGUCCCGGUUUAAGCGUGUAGGCUGGUUUUCCAGGCAAAUCCGGAAAAUCAAGGCUGAGGCGUGAUGACGAGGCACUACGGUGCUGAAGCAACAAAUGCCCUGCUUCCAGGAAAAGCCUCUAAGCAUCAGGUAACAU